GUUCACGGAGCAGCCUGUUGAUUACAAACAAAACAGCGAAAGCAACUUUGUUGCAUUUUGUAACUCAGGAUUACACCUUCGGUCGUCGUGGAAAAGAGGCAUCAUUAAAAACAUUUGUAAACAACUGGUUGCAGUUCAGAGCCAACCUGGAAACUAAUGAGAUCCUGAGGGAAAUCGACGAGAAAUCAACAGCUUUAUACUAUGGAGGAACAACAUACUCCAUUGUGGAAAGACCCGGCUACCUCACAAAAGAACUCUUAACCCGACAAAAAAAAGAAAGACAGACUCAUCUACAGACACGGACAAUUUACUUAGCAUUGAAGUAGAGGCUAGUACUCGCUGGAAUCCAUGCAACACUUGAAAAGUUGUGUGAGAUGGUAGCAGGGCUGAGGGGGAGUUUGGAGUUUAGCCAGAGUGAAAUUAUCUCGCUCCAUGGAGAGAGCAAGGCACUCACAACCAAGGUAAAAACCCUCAAUUCCAACAUGGAUUGUCUACUCAGGGAAAACAGGGCGAUAAAGGAGUCUACUAGAUAUACAAAGCUGUAGCAAACGUGAAAAUCUAAUAUUUUCUGGGAUUCCUGAGGACACAUCCAAUAACCCAGAGGGGGCGAUCAGAUAAUUCAUGCAUUCCGCCUUGAAACCUCCUCUAGAGACUGUAAACAAGGUGACUUUCCACACUGUACACAGACUUGGAGCUCGGAGCAAAAAGACCAAGGGUCCCAGACCUAUCAUCGCAAAAUUUGAACACUACCAUAAAAGGGAGUUGAUCAAAAGCAGAGAAAGGGAGCUAAAAGGGACCAAAUUCUGUCUCAAUGACCAAUUUCCACGAGAGACAAACAAACUUCACAAGAGGCUGUAUCCUGUACAGAGGCAACAGAGGGAGAGCGGCAUGCUGCAAGGAGGCAUGAGGACUGCAGAUGUGGCCAGGGCAAUAAAUUGCAAUGUCCGUACUGUGACACGCCCAAGACAGUGCUACAGGGAGAGCCCAGUGUAACAACACCUGCACAGGAUCGGUACAUCCAAACAUCACACCUGCGGGACAGGUACAGAAUGGCAACAACAACUGCCCGACUUACACCAGGAAGGUGACUAAGAGGACUUGAGCCCUAGGACCAUGCCUUAGGACUACCUGUCCCGAUGACUCCUUGCUGUCCCCAGUAAACCUUGUUGUACUGUUGCUCCAGUUUCAACUGUUCUGCCUGCGGCUAUGGAACCCUGACCUGCUCACCGGACGUGCUACCUUGUCCCGGACCUGCUGUUUACGACUCUCUUUACUUCACCUGCUGUCUCUAACUCUGAAUGAUCGGCUAUGAAAAGCCAAAUGACAUUUACUCCUGAGCUGCUGACCUGUUGCAACCUCUGCAUCCACUGUGAUUAUUAUCAUUUGACCCUGCUGGUCAUCUAUGAUCUUUUGAACAUCUUACUGUUAUAAUCUCCACCCGGCACAGCCAAAAGAGGACUGGCCACCCUUCAGAGCCUGGUUCCUCUCUCAGUUUCUUCCUAGGUUCCUGCCUUUCUAGGGAGUUUUUCCUAGCCAUGUGCUUCUAUAUCUGCAUUGCUUGCUGUAUGGGGUUUAGGCUGGGUUUCUGUAUAGCACUUUGUGACAUCGGCUGAAGUAAAAAGGGCUUUAUAAAUUAAUUUGAUUGAUUGUGAGGAGGAGCUGGGUUAAAAAUACAGAGAUCUGAUGACCACGCUGGACUACCUGCCAGCUGCUGCACAUCUUUUUACGAGUCACUACAAUGUGAAGCUUCCCUGGAGGAAUAGGCAAGUGCAGGUUAUGUGCAUUAUUUUCUACAGUGACAGUGUGUUUAGCCAACCUUCAUGUAACAUUAUAUCUCCAUAGCAGAGGUCCAUAUUCAUUACAAAUAUGUUGGAUUCAUUUAAUAGCAUCAAUGUGAAUUUUGUUACCUCUUACUCUGAAUUGCGUAAUGUCUGCCGUCACACUCCUUUCUGUUUGUUUUGAGCUGGGUAUAUAUUAUUUGUAUUGCCUGGCAGGUUGUCCUGUUAUAAGAGGACAGCCAGCGUUCGCCUCCCCCUGCUGUCUCUGGUGGAUUGAGACGCAGCCCAUGCUUAAACUGACUUGGGAUUUUUUAAAUAUCUUACUUAGAUUGACGCACAGGUGCAUCAAUCAGACUUGCUUUAAAAUGAAUAAUAAUAACAAUGUUAGCUCCCAGCAUAUUCAUGCAGUGUAGUAAAGACAUGAUUUGUCACUAUGUUCAUUGUUGUUUAACUAGCUAACAUUAGCUGGCUGGCUCGUUAGCUAACGUUACAUGACGUGUGAUUUUACAUGUUGUUUACCUAGCUAGGCUAAUUGUUUACCUAGCUAGCUAGCUACAUGUCUUAAGCAAAGUGUACUGUUAGCUAGCUAACUAAUGUUAGCUGGCUGGCUCCCUAGCUGACGUUGUUAUUCGUAUCCCACAGCUGUUUGCUUGUUGUUUAACUAGCUAAUGUUAGCUGGCUGGCUCGUUAGCUAACAUUACAUGGCGUAUGUGAUUUUACUUUUUUUUUUACCUAGUUAGGUUCAUUGUUUACCUAGCUCGCUACAUGUCUUAAGCUAAAGUGUACAUCACGUGUUGAAUAUGGCCGGUGUCAGUAAACAUCUGCAAAGAAGUGUAAUGAAAUUGUUGCCAGCAGGGCUGGUUCGGCUGUUUUCAUGAAUGAACAUACAGCGGGUAAACAAAUCAUCGGCCAGAGCAUCAAGUGUGGACUCUGACCACUCCGAGGGCGAAACAAGAUGGGUGGGGCUGAAGAUUAAGAGGGUGUGAACGAUGCUGAAUAGGUGUAGACAAAGAGGAGCUCUUCAAUAGAUACCAAAACAUUCAAGGCCAUUUUCUCAAAAGUGAGUUUACAAGUUUAUCAACUUUCAAAGCAGAAUUACUCUCCCAUGGUUCCUCAGUAUGAGCAACCAGUAUGAUAUACAAUUUUGUAGCUCUGAGUCUCUACUUUUAUCCAAUGGGAAAAAAACACAAUUUCAAAUAAAUACAUUUGAUUGUUUGUUAUAUUUGACAUAUGAUAAGGCCACACAGAGGGCCAGCGAUAAGACACUGUGAUAAUCUGAAGUACCCAAUUGUAUAAAAUGUAAUCUUAUAAAAUUCCCCCCAAAACGUGAAAGUUACUAAACUCUGGUAGUUUCCAAAAAUAUUCCCUUCCUUUGCAACACUAGGUAUGAGGAACUGAUAGGAAAUAUUUGUCUCUGACCUGACAGAUGUCAGGUGCAAUAAAAGCUCCAGGAGCAACAUAAGCCAAAGAACUAGAGAACCCAAGGAACUAGAGAAGCCAAAGGAGCUAAAGAGGAUAAUAGAGUGGCCACCCAACACCAACUUGGGCUGGCCGGUAUUUGGACCAGUCAGGAGGAAAAUCACAUCCUUGAAGAAAAUUGAGCUGUUCGGCGACACAUGGUGUUUCUCAGCGGGAAAUAACAACCUCAUAGCUCUACAUGAUAACAUGGUUAGAUAAAUUGUCAGCUUCAUGAAUAAUGAUGUAGAAGCCUAUCAGAGGUGCGGGUCUUAUGGUUGUUACUCAAACUUUUGGAUGACAUAGAGAGGCGGAUCAGUUUUGUGAAAGAAGUUACCGAAGAGAUCAGAUGGGAGGCUUUAGUGACCUCCAGACUUGCAGCCAGAGGACUACGUUAGGAGCUUCAGUCCAUCUGAUGAGCUCAAGACAAG